rnacentral:rRNA from 1 species
CAGCAGCCACGGGAAUACGUAGGUGGCAAGCGUUGUCCGGAAUUAUUGGGCGUAAAGGGCUCGCAGGCGGUUUCUUAAGUCUGAUGUAAAAGCCCCCGGCUCAACCGGGGAGGGUCAUUGGAAACUGGGAAACUUGAGUGCAGAAGAGGAGAGUGGAAUUCCACGUGUAGCGGUGAAAUGCGUAGAGAUGUGGAGGAACACCAGUGGCGAAGGCGACUCUCUGGUCUGUAACUGACGCUGAGGAGCGAAAGCGUGGGGAGCGAACAGGAUUAGAUACCCCCGUAGUCCCUGUCUCUUAUAC